CUGUUCACACUUCCAAAUGUUUGCCAUUAAUUGUAAUAAUCCAGUGAGAUUUUUGUUUGCGCAAGGAGUCUGACAGCAGCCAGUGCUCCAGACAGAGAUCUGAUCUGAUCAUCAUCAGUCUGUCUGGACUAACAUGAAGAAACAGAACAAACUGAGACAGACUCAAUCCAGAAGAACUGUGGCAAUGUCUCCAAAAUGCUCCAAGAAAACUACCUGCAAAGCUACCUGAAGUACAAUGUGCAAGUGCACCUAAGAUAAAAGCUGCUUUAAACGCAUAAGAUGCAAAAUAGUUUUUGUUUGUUUUAUCCUGAUGCAUUCUAACAUCUGAAGAUAAACAAGACUUUAUGAAAUCCUCCGAAGAUGUGUGAAGCUUGAUGUUCCCAGGGUCCAAAUGUGGCUGGAGUAUGAAAAGAGCAAUGUGAGUUCAGAUGCUUUGUUUCCAGGAUGAUGUAUCCUGCGGCUCAUUGUGAGCGAUUCAUUCCGCAGCAGACAGGGAUUGUCUCACAUUCCGGAAUAUCAUUCUGAAACGUCAUGAGGUUUUAUCUCACUUUGGUCCAUGUUUCACUCUGGCACAGAGUCCAGUGAAACCAGCUGUCUGAAGUGUUGGUGUUUUGAUUGGUCCAGUUUUGCUGCAGGCAGUACAAUCACUGACAAAACAAAUCAGUGACAUCAAAAACAGAAAGUGAAAGAAAAAUACCCAUAAUUCCUGAUUCAACCAUGGAAAAGAAGACAGAUUCUGCUACAACAAACACUGAUAUGCUGUACAAUGAAAUAUGUAAUAUGGAAGCCGUCAGUUUCCAUCACUAAUUGCAUAUUUUUAUUUCACAAUUCGAAUGUUUCUUGGCACAAUUCUGAUUUAGUUUUCAACAGAUCUGAGAAAAAGCCAUGGUUAUGAAAUAUAAACUGAGAAUUCUGAGUUUACUUUUCUUCCCAUGGAAUGAAAUUGUUUUAAAAAUUAAUUGUGACUUUUUAUCUCUGAAUUCUGACUCACAUUUGAGACUUUAUAUAUUUUUUAUUUCACAAUUCUGAGAAAUUCUCUGCAGUUCAGAGUUAAUGUCUUGCAGCGAUUUUAUAUCUCACAAUUGUGGAUACCAGUUUAAUCUUGGAAGAAUUUGUUUGAGAAACGUUUGACUUCAUGUUGAAAUCUCUGACUUACACUUAGGCCCGUCUGAGCACAGCUUGAGUCAAAAUAUUUCAGAAAAAGUCUCCAUUGCAUACCUCAUUGCUGAGAAACAAUCGAGAUAUAAAUGUUUCUCCUUCCUUUUAGGAUGCCAUUUAUAAGUUCUGCCAACUUUUCUCCACUUUUAUUGACAGUCUAAGGCUCAUGCUGUGGGUCUUCAUUGUGCUUUAAAGUUAAAAGACUGUCAUUUUGUCACAGUAAUUAUGAGGACAAACAAUUACAGCAUCCCGCUGACGAAACAGUGAUGCCAAUCAAGAGCGGCGGCUCUUCCAGAAGCAAGUGGGAGCAGAAUUAAAAUGAGAGAGGAAAACUCAUCAGUGAGCGAGAAGGGGAGAUCAAAUACGCCAAUCAAGAGAUGAGGGGGGAAAUCUUUUUUUACUGUAUGAUAUCUACUGUCUGUAUGAUAUUAAAGGACCCUGGAUUGAAGAAAAUGCGUUUUAAUGGAUUUUUGCUAAAAUUCUUAAGGAAAGUUAUUCUUGGCAUAUUUUAAAUACAGUAUUGUUUUAAAAAAUAUUUUAUGUUCACCAAGGCUGCAUUUAUUUGAUUGGAAAUACAGUAAAACAUUCAUGUUUUGAAAAAUAAUUUUCAUUUAAAAUAACUGUUUCCUGUAUUUUAUAAUACAAAUUAUUCCUUUGCUCAAAGCUGUAUUUUCAGCAUCAUUACAUCAGAUCCUCCGGAAAUCAUUUCUGAUUAUUAUCAAUGAAAAGAUGAAAAGAUCUGUGCUGCUUAAUAUUUUUCUGGAAACCGUGAUUCAUUUUAUUUUUCUGGAUUCUUUGAUGAAUUCAAAAGAACAGCAUUUAUUUGAAAAACUGUCCUUUUUGACUGAUUUCAUGCAUCCAUGCUGAAUGAAUAUGAUAGCAGUGAUAGUUAUAGAUAGAUAUAUCACAGUAUUGUCAGUCUGGUGUUUUAUAUUGUUCAAACAACAUUUAAGCGGUCUAAAGUCUUGCCAAUUCACUUAGUGACAAAUAUUUUGGGAGGCUUCCCAUUGCUUGCAGAUGUGACCCUUGAACUUUGUAAACGCUCUAAAUCAUGUUAUAGCCAAAGAAAUUAGGUCAGUUUUUUUAUACAGCCUUCUCCAUAGUUUAACAUCAUUUUUCAGUGAACAGGAUCUGUUGUUUAAAAAUGCCAGCAAAUCAAAUCUGAAAAUCUGAACCGGCUUCAGAAGUUCUAAUAUUCCUGUUAUUUGUCAACUAAGCCAUUUGAUUCAUGGUUUGUGUGACACAGUUUUCCUUUUUUAAGUGAUUUUUUUAUUAUUCUUUUAAGUGGUGUCAUCUGAAGACAUUCUCCAUCUCUUUGUCACUUUCAAGACUAAAUAGAGCCUCUGGCUGUUUACAAACACAUUUUAAAACAACUGCUAUCAUGUUCACUUUAUUGUUUCUCCGAGCAGGACCAUCAUCAAGCUUCAAUAAAGCAUCUGUCAUAAUAUAAUAAAAGCUUUGAA